ensembl:lincRNA
UUCAGAAUCAAUUCCGUGGGACAUCGUGGCCUCAUUCUCUAUGUGUUGGCAGCAAGUGACCAGGCCCAAUGUCCCCUCCACCACCCCUUUCUUAAACAGACAAGAAUUGAGCUCAGAGGAAUGUCUCCAUCCCACAAGACACAUCUGUAGAAUCUUGGCAGCCAAGAGGUUCUGUCAGGUGGAGAGCCCAUGAGGGUCUGCCUUCUCUCUCAAUUCCUUUAUGGAAUUACCAUUUCUUUCCUCCUGGUCACGUUAUUCAUGUACUCAAUCAUGCACUUAUCCAGUCAUCCACUCAGUCCCUAAUGUUUGCCCAUACGUAAGGUGAGAGGGAAGGAUGAAUAAAAGUAAGGAGGUGAGGAGGUAGAGAACUAGAGAGGUAGGGAGGGAGAUGGGUGGUAGUCAUGCAUUUUAGCCAGGGGUUUGUGUCUCUGUGUGUAAGUGCAUUUUGUCACUUUCUUGGGUUCCUGUAUGUCUUGUUCUAGAUAUGUCUUGUAGCAUUAUUCACUGCAUGAAGAUGUAGCACAUGUGACCAUCAAAGCCUACAAGAAAUAACAAGGAAUUCUCACAAGUAUCUUUUUGCUCUAUAGACAGACAACAUCCCCAGAGGAAGGAAGAUCUGAAUGUGGCUUGCUGCCCAUGGGAAAUAAAUGUCAGCCUUGGUGCAACACCUGGGGUAGCCAAAAACUCACAAUCUUUGGGACAUACUCAUUUCCAGAAAGCUUCAGAGGUCAAAAACUAGAACAAGUUACCAUCCUUUCACGUGAACAAGUUAUUUUCAAGGAAGGAAAGUGAGCAGCUACACUGCAGGACUGGAAUCAGGUCUUCCAUUCAGAGGAUGGGGUGAGUAGCUAUUUGAAAUUCAUUUAUCAUAUGCUCUGUACCAGGUCCUGAGGUUUCUCUGUUUAUCUUGAGAAUAUUUUGGUGAUGUGUCCUUUUGCUCACUAAGGUCACUUACAUUAUUAAAUCUUUAUAACUUCUUCUUUUGUUUUGACUUUUUUCUGCUUUGAUGGAAAAAUGUCAAAUUUUAGAGAAUUUUUGGCAAUUUCAUAGUGGAUCAAAAAAUUAUUGUUGUAAAAUUCUAUACGUGCCAAAAUAUUUUGAGAUUUCCUCAUCUUUUUAGUUGUUGGGAUUUCAGGAUACCAACACAGUAAUUCAUAAGUUUUGUGAUCUCAGUGCAUUAUAUUUUUGUUUCUGCUUUAGCAUAAAUUAGUUGUUUGAUUAACAUAAAUUAGUUGUCAUUCAUUUUUGCACUAUGGAAAGUUGUACAUGAACUUUUUAGAUCUCUUCAAGACCAUGAAGCUUUUAUAUGAUAAAUGUUGUUCCUUUUGAAACACAAAAUAGUUCAGUUUUCAAUAUUGUAUUGUACUAGAAAAAGAGUAUUAUUUAGAGAUAUUAAGUAGAUAAAUAUGAAAUAUUAAUAUCAUAUGUGGCAUCAUCAUUAUUUCUUCCCAAAACUUAAAAUAUGCCUCACCAAAAAGAGUAGUCCAUAUAUUUCCUGGCAAGCUAUGUUGAAGAUUAUGUGUUACCUAGGACUGUGACAUUAAUGCCCUAAGAAUAAGUAAAUGUUUUUCUUGACAAACCUGUCACAAAUUCUAUCAGGUAGUAUUUAUGCUUGUGUUUAUUAUGUAUUGUUUAUUUAUGUAUAUAUUCUCUAAAACUAUAGAAUAUAAUUCUAAAGAGCUGAUUAAUAACUAAAAAAGAG